GUGGAAGGUAGCGCAGUGCUGUCAGCUUCGAAAUGAUUCAGUCACUUUGGAAAUUUAUCAGUUAUUGGUAUUUCAGAUAUUUAAUGGUGACUGAAUUGUACAUGGUAGAGAGGUGGGAGAGAGCAGUCAUAAAUGUUGCCAUACUUGUGGUAUUUCUAAUGCUAUCAUAUUUCAAUUAUGCUGUUCUGCUUUAUGCCACAUCAUCAAUUGUGAGAUACACUUUAGUUUAGUGCUCGGACAUAUGCACAGUGCUGCCUUUUUAUUUUGUGUUAUAAGCAUAGUGUCUCAACAUGAAAGUGGGAUAUCAGUUUACACAAAAUUAUAAAGGUCAUCUGGUUUUGUGAUAAAGUCACUGAAAUUUAUUUUCAGUUGUGUAUCCCAUGACAAACUACAUGCAUUCCAUACAGUACACGAUAGUCUGAGUAGCCUAUGUCAUUUAUCUUGGUGUACUGUUUAGUUGAAAAGGAAGCUCUGCGAGAAAUUCAGAAUUCUAAAAUUUAUUACUAUGUUAUGAAAGAAAUGUGUAUUUUGCAAUAUGCUACUUAUUAAUAAUAAACAAUGGACUUUUAUAUA